rnacentral:lncRNA from 1 species
CAACUAAAAGGGAAGCUGUCACGAUUGAAUAUCUGCUUAGCAAUUGCUUUCUUAAUUCCUUUUCCCUGAAGGACAACUAUGCCCAGUGAAUUGUUGAAGCCCCUUUAAUUUGCUGGGUUAAAUAUUCACUCUCUACCAUCUAAUCCAAAUAUAGUCAGUUGGAAAAAAAAAAAAUGAAACGACUUUUGACAGACAUUUUGAGCUGGUGUACAAAGGUGGACCGAUUACAGGAAUUCAUUUAAAUAUCUUUUUUGCACGUGCAUGUUAAUCACGACUCAGAAACACCCUUUGAUAUUCACGGUGUAUCAGUCACUUUGAGAGUCAUUCAUUCAGUUGUGCGAUCAAGGCCGCUCUUCAGAGCUGGGCCCC